rnacentral:rRNA from 1 species
AUUCCCCGUGAAGGCGACGGCCCUAUGGGUUGUAACCUCUUUUGUAUAGGGAUAACCUACUCUCGUGAGAGUAGCUGAAGGUACUAUACGAAUAAGCACCGGCUAACUCCGUGCCAGCAGCCGCGGUAAUACGGAGGGUGCAAGCGUUAUCCGGAUUUAUUGGGUUUAAAGGGUCCGUAGGCGGAUCUGUAAGUCAGUGGUGAAAUCUCACAGCUUAACUGUGAAACUGCCAUUGAUACUGCAGGUCUUGAGUGUUAUUGAAGUAGCUGGAAUAAGUAGUGUAGCGGUGAAAUGCAUAGAUAUUACUUAGAACACCAAUUGCGAAGGCAGGUUACUAAGCAACAACUGACGCUGAUGGACGAAAGCGUGGGGAGCGAACAGGAUUAGAUACCCUGGUAGUCCACGCCGUAAACGAUGCUAACUCGUUUUUGGGUUUUCGGAUUCAGAGACUAAGCGAAAGUGAUAAGUUAGCCACCUGGGGAGUACGUUCGCAAGAAUGAAACUCAAAGGAAUUGACGGGGGCCCGCACAAGCGGUGGAUUAUGUGGUUUAAUUCGAUGAUACGCGAGGAACCUUACCAAGGCUUAAAUGGGAAAUGACAGGUUUAGAAAUAGACUUUUCUUCGGACAUUUUUCAAGGUGCUGCAUGGUUGUCGUCAGCUCGUGCCGUGAGGUGUUAGGUUAAGUCCUGCAACGAGCGCAACCCCUGUCACUAGUUGCCAUCAUUAAGUUGGGGACUCUAGUGAGACUGCCUACGCAAGUAGAGAGGAAGGUGGGGAUGACGUCAAAUCAUCACGGCCCUUACGCCUUGGGCCACACACGUAAUACAAUGGCCGGUACAGAGGGCAGCUACACAGCGAUGUGAUGCAAAUCUCGAAAGCCGGUCUCAGUUCGGAUUGGAGUCUGCAACUCGACUCUAUGAAGCUGGAAUCGCUAGUAAUCGCGCAUCAGCCAUGGCGCGGUGAAUACGUUCCCGGGCCUUGUACACACCGCCCGUCAAGCCAUGGAAGUCUGGGGUACCUGAAGUCGGUGACCGUAACAGGAGCUGCCUAGGUAGAGCCAGAG